AUGGUAUUAUGCUGACCUCUGGGAUCACUGAAGAGGUCAGACUAUCUGAACUGUUCUGAAUUCGCAGGUAAAGGGAAGAAGAGCAAUGGCUUUAUUUAAUGUACUUGCCUUCAUCAUGCCCGUACAACAGAAACCUCACUGCCUACAGACUUAAAUGAGAAAUGUAUGGAGGUGACUUCUGCCUCAUGCUCUUGUCAGGAAUUGCGUUGACUGCUGUCAGAAACCACUAGCAAUGGCUUAAAAUAUUGCAUCAUCUUACAGUCUUUGCCUUUAAUGAAAGAAGAUUAAAGACUGAGAAAGACUAAGAGAAAUGUUUUAUGAACAUCUUGAGAAAGACAUGAAAGCAGCAGUAAGCAGAAAGGUGUGGCUAGCAGGACAACCUGCUCACCAUAUUGUCCUUCCAAUGUGGCUGGUCAAGGUUACUAUUUUGCUCUUCUGACAUGUUAUCAAUUAUCCUGCCAACAGACUGAUACCGGACCUGUAGUUUUCUUAUAAAAUAAAAAACUGAGUUUAAUUAAACCA
ensembl:lncRNA